rnacentral:lncRNA from 1 species
GUGAAAGUCACCAGGAAAGAGGAACCUGGGGGCCAGGGGACUGCAAGGCGGCGCAGGCCAGCACCACGUCGAGUGCCUGGGUUGCUCAGCACCAUCGGAGCAGCCCAGGGGGUUGUGUUCGCCUCCCAGGAGGCCAAGGGCGACCCCAGGGACUUGCAGAUAAGAGUCUUGCUAAUUAUUGUCCAGGCUGGACUCAAACUUGUGAUCCUUCUGCCUCGAGCUCCAGAAAAAGGUCUUGCUAUGUGCCUGAGCUGGCCUUGAAUUUGGAAUCCUCCUGCUUCAGCCUCACAGGUAUAUGCAGCCACACCCAGGUCUGUUCCUCCCAUUUUCAAGCCCAAUCCUCUCCACCAGUUGAGAGGGGUUUCAGUGGUCCCAGCCACCCUUCCAAUACUUGAUGUCUUCCUGGGACUGUCCCUUGUGCCUUCCCACUCUGCCUGGAUCACUCUGAGCAUAUUUGGUACUGACCCCCACACAGCUUCCCA